CGUGUAGGUGGUCAGGUAAGUCAGAUGUGAAAGCCUUCUGCUUAACAGAAGAAGUGCAUUUGAAACUGCUUGGCUAGAGUACGGGAGAGGAGGGUGGAAUUCCCGGUGUAGAGGUGAAAUUCGUAGAUAUCGGGAGGAACACCAGUGGCGAAGGCGGCUCUCUGGUCCGAUACUGACGCUGAGACGCGAAAGCGUGGGGAGCAAACAGGAUUAGAUACCCUGGUAGUCCACGCCGUAAACGAUGGGCACUAGGUGUAGGAGGUAUUGACCCCUUCUGUGCCGAAGCUAACGCAUUAAGUGCCCCGCCUGGGGAGUACGGCCGCAAGGCUAAAA
rnacentral:rRNA from 1 species